GAGUUGUCCUGAAGCCGUUGACGGCCGCGGACGAGCAUGGCUGCUCUACAUCCGGGGUUUCGCCGUCACUUCAUUUUGCUCAAAGGGUCCUGUGCAGCAACGGGGACGCCAUUGAGUGUCGUUGGCGUGUCGACCACUUCCCAGCUUUCUGUUGGUCUCCCACCCACCAGCAAACUGAAAACCUGCUGGAGCAAUCCUGGCGUAUUUCCCAAUAAGCUGUAGACUUGUGAUUCAAGCUGGAAGACACAAACCACUCAUAUGACCAAAAGUUUGGUUAUAUGUUGGUGGAGACCGCUACAGCAGGCUGGUGCAGGAGGUGGUGUUGGUGGAGACCGCUACAGCAGACUGGUG